rnacentral:lncRNA from 1 species
CAUCCCCAAAAUAAAACUGAUGAAAUUUUAAAGCUUUCCUAAACCCCAUGUAAAUGUAGCGAUGAAGAAUCUCCCCAAACUCGUUAGUAAUCAUCGUGGAUUUCGUUUUAAACAGAACGAAAAUCAUACCCUGAAUAUCCUUAAUUUGACAAUAAUCCUUAGACCCCAAAACUUCCCUUGAUUUCUCAAAUCUCUUGCGAGAUCUGAAAGAUUUUGCCCUGCAGAAACUUCCUUUUGCUUCCAUCGAUUCCCAAAAACACACUGAUGCUGAUGAUCUAUCCAUUGAAGACCCUCGAUAGCCCAAAGACUCCCUGGAUCUCACCGUUGACGACCCAUUCAACCCUAAUACACAAUCGCCGUCGCCAUCGCUUUUCGAAAGAGAGAGCGUUUUUUUUUGCGUGAGUUUCUAAAUU